rnacentral:snRNA from 1 species
GUGCUCGCUUUGGCAGCACAUCUGCUAAAACUGGAAUGAUACAGAGAAGAUUAAUACGGCUCCCAUGCAAGGAUGAUAUGCAAAUUUGUGAAGCAUUCCAUAUUUUU